rnacentral:misc_RNA from 1 species
GCUGGAUCUUGUUGGUUAAAAGCAUCAUGCCGGUGGCGGUGGCGAAGAGGAGGGUGGAAGAGAGCUUGAGCGUGGGGGAGAUUGGGGCGAUGCCGGCCAUGAUGGAUGCUGCGAGGGUGAGAGAGUUGAUGGAGGUGGGGAGGAGGAGAGCCCAGUUGUUGCGCUGGGCGCCGAUGAUGGAAUGCAUUUGGGCGCGGUCGGCGGCGGACUCCACGAUGGCGAGGAGUUUGGGGAGGUUUGGAGAGGCGUGGGUUGGGGAUUGGUGCUGUUUGAGAGUUAGCUCCUCGAGCAUGGAGAGGUUUGGGAGGGAUAUUUG